rnacentral:rRNA from 1 species
UACAGGAGGUCUCAAGCGUUGUUCGGAUUCAUUGGGCGUAAAGGGCGCGUAGGCGGCAAGGUAAGUCGGGUGUGAAAGCUUGGGGCUUAACCCCGAAAGGGCACUCGAAACUGCCCUGCUAGAGGGCCGGAGAGGAGAUCGGAAUUCACGGUGUAGCAGUGAAAUGCGUAGAGCUCGAGUGAGGAAGACCGGUGGCGAAGGCGGAUCUCUGGACGGCCCUGACGCUGAGGCGCG